CCACUAAGGCAGCAUCUCUUGAAGAUUGCUUUCUGGUGGAGGUUGCCUCAGUGGUUCCCAGCAGGCCUAAAGGCUUCCAUACUGGAAAAUACAUCAUAUGUGUGAGAAUGGAUGCCACAGGUGGAGAGAAUGAAAAAGGAAAAAAUUUCAUCUUAGGAAUGUUAAGGUGGUUGUUUUCAUCAAGGAGAUUAACUUGAGCCAUGUUGAAAGCAGUCUGGAAGACAUUAAUGAGUGAUGUUACCAACCGUAUUUGUCCUGAGAAGCAUUUCAGAGGAGGAAAGAGAAAAAUGAACUGGUCUGAACAUUUCCACUCGUUCAUCUUUGGAACAACUGCUACACCCCUGAGCUUUGCUGUUAGAAAACAAAACAGGUCUGCUGGCUGUUUCCAGGUAUCCCAAGAGAGUCCACCUACAAAACCUCUGAUUUAUGAAGUCUGCUUUUUUGAAGCUUGCUAUUUUUAUUCUCUACUGCACCAGUUUUCCAAGCCAUAGAUUCUUGCAGCUGUAUUUUUUCCAAAUACGUCAAAAGUUUCAGACAUUUUUGUUACUGUUAAAUUACUUGCAGAUGCUGUAAAGGAGCAAUCACAUAUGUGUGAUCAACAUACAGGGAACUACGUAAAACUGCCUAAAAGUGGUAGCUUCUUCAUCAAAGUAUUUUGUGUUAUUUGUUAUUUCAUCCUAUGAAGAAAUAAACAGAAGAAACCCGACCUCAGGGGCAAAACUGCAUGUCAUCACAGCACAGCUGUGACAUGAAAAAUAUUCAUAUUGUCAGAUGGCUAAAAGCAUAUGAACUGAGCUAAAUGGGAAUCUUAUGCCAAAAGAAACACAAAAUUUGCUUAAUGUAGAAAAAAUAAUAAUAAUAAAAUUAUUUUUAAAAAGCCAACAAGUAGUGCAUCCCAUCUAAUGACUUUUCAGGAUAGAUGCCUGAAGAGAAAUUCUUUAAAAAAAAACACUUCUAUCUUAAGUUCUUGUAGUAGGAAUUAUUCACUAAUAUCCUUUGAUUAUGAGAUGUCCUAGAACGGAUCUCAUCUGUAGUGUUUUAACAAUGAAAAGAUUUCUAAAGAAACAUAGAUGGAAUCUCAUGCAGAAUCUUUCACCUUACAUAGGUAGAUACUAAAAACUUGAGACUAACUCUUCCCUGAUCACUGUCUCAUACCACACGAAAACGCACAAAGUCCCAACAAAAUUUCCUAGAAUUUGCAACAACAAUCCUUCAAAAAUACACUUCUUGUUUGAAAAUCUUGUUUGAAAAAAUUGUUUGAUGCUAUAAUGCUUUAUCACUAUUUGAGGUUCAAUUUUACAAAAAUUAUCUGAUUUCCCAAUCCAAAUGUAUUUUCCUUCAAAUGUUUUGGUUACAGUAUAGUAUGUUGGAUGAUCCAAAAGUAAUGCCUCCCAUUUUAUUAUGUUGGCCCUCAAUAUCACAGGUGGAUGCCAGUGGUACAGCAGUUGAGGCUGAACCUUGCCACAGAUAUCCUGUUAAAUUUUAUUACUGUGUGACAGAUGGCAGAAGAGGUGCAGUCUAGAAAAAAUGGCAUCUGAUAUGGAAGUGCGUAUGAUACAAAAUUCCUCCAUGUGGAGAAAAUGGCACCCACUGACUCACUGACACCAAACAGUGGAUAUGAGCGCAGUGAGACAGUGAAUGGUGCAUUUGAGCAGUGGUGACAGUGACAGCAUGUCACCUCCAAUGGUGCAGGUAUUUACCAGUGUGAGAUGCAGGCUCUUGCUCAUCACUGGUGACAGUGCAUAGUUAAUGGUGGUGACUAUGUUGCAAAAUUGUGUUUUGUA